UGAAUGUAAUUUAUAAAAUAAUAAAUAAUGUGAAAGGGCAAUAUUAUAUUAACUUAUUAAAGUGCUUCUCCAUUGUGAUUUCAUUCAUUAGAGCAUAUAUACGAGUUCGAUUACAUUCUAAGUUCAAGUAGCAUAUUAAGAUUUAUGGAUAUGCCAAUUUAGCCUAAUAUCAAACCUAUUACGAUCCAGUCAAUAGGACCAAAGCUAUUACAACCGUACAAUGUUCAGCUUCGUAGAUCGCCCUACAUGGUAGAUGCGCAUACACGAGCAUCCGUUAGACUGCAUGUCCGUUAGACUCAAUAGAAUAUCAUGGAGAGAUAAUAGUACACCAUGGCUAUACGGGCAUUAGGUUGGAUCAAAAUUGCAAAUCAACCAGAUCUUCGCCAAGUUAAAUUACUUACAAUUAGUCAUAUCUCAAAACGACUUGUUUAAAAUAAUACUGUAAGCAAUAAAAAGAAUGAUCAUUGACAUCUCGGAAAUUUUGCAGAUACAUAAAGUUUCGGUCAGAUUUCCCGUGAAAUUAAUCGAUCGAUGAAAAUUUAAUCGCGAAGAAUAUUUAAGAUCACGAUGAUUCUCGUAAAUGAAAAGUUUCUACUAAAGUUAAAUUGUAGCUGUUUUUCUCGAGUAAUUGUGAUCUGGAAGGAAAAAGACUCCCGGUAAGCCCUUUACAUACUGCAAGAGCGGUAUCGCGGCACCUCGAAUAAUUAUUUUUAAAGCAGGCACAACGCAGUUAUGCAAAGGAGGCCACGCAAGAAGGGACGAGGAGAACGAGGGACGCUAAAGAGGAUCGAAAGCUUGAAGUAGGUCAGUAACGCUCGACGUGUAUGACUGCCUGCCUGUUGGGCUUUUCCCUCUACGGUGUCUACUCCUGCGGACGUGCUCGUCCUUGAUCCCGGCGCGCACCCUCCGAGAACGGGAGCGAGAAUAACGUUCAACCGUCCGUAGAAGUAUCUGCAAUGUUACUUAUGUUCUCACCAUGACGACAUCGACACGCUAUUGACGACUCCACGUGUGUCUUUUCCUAUCAAUAAAAGAAUCCAUUGUUCUACGCUACUUAUGGGGCACCCCGGGGGCUGCUUCCUGAUCCGGAAGGAACAACGAAAGGAGAACCGAUAACGUCAAUGCGCGCACCACGCAGCUUUUCUCGCGUGUUUCGGUCGGACCACACACUGUGUACUGAGUGCCUCUAAAUGCAACCUAUUUACUCACCGCACCGCCUACAGGAUAUCUCGGGGAGAAAUGACUACCACUCUAACAAGACGUAAUGUAUACGUUUUCAGAAGAUUGUUCUUUUCCGCUAUUGUAACCGGUCGCGCCAAGGGACGUCUAGCACUUGCCUUUGCUCUCUUUUUCUCUUUAUCAUUUUACUGUUAACAUUUUUUUACGAUAACGUUAUCGAUAUAUUUCGCAUCGGAUUAUCGGAUUAAUCACUGAUCUUUUAAAAAUAAUAAAAA